rnacentral:rRNA from 1 species
AGCAGCCGCGGUAAAUUCCAGCUCCAAUAGCGUAUAUUAAAGUUGUUGCAGUUAAAAAGCUCGUAGUUGAAUUUCGGGGUUAGCAGGUCGGUCGUGCCAUCGGUAUGAACUGGUCUCGCUGAUCCCUCCCUCUUGACGAACUGUGAUGCCAUUAAUUUGGUGUCGCAGGGAAUCAGGACUGUUACUUUGAAAAAAUUGAGUGUUUAAAGCAGGCUCACGCUUGAAUACAUUAGCAUGGAAUAAUGAAAUAGGACGUUUGAUCCUAUUUUGUUGGUUUCUAGGAUUGACGUAAUGAUUAAUAGGGAUAGUUGGGGGCAUUAGUAUUCAAUUGUCGGAGGUGAAAUUCUUGGAUUUAUUGAAGACUAACUACUGCGAAAGCAUUUGCCAAGGAUGUUUUCAUUAAUCAAAGAACGAAAGUUAGGGGAUCGAAGACGAUCAGAUACCGUCGUAGUCUUAACCAUAAACUAUGCCGACUAGGGAUCGGAUGAUGUUAUUUUUAAUGACUCAUUCGCG